AACUGAUACUACCUGCGGGAACCUGCGGAAGGAUCAUUACCGAGUUUUCAACUCCCAAACCCCAUGUGAACUUAUACCAUUUACAACCGUUGCUUCGGCGGGUUCUCGCCCCGGGCUUUACACCCCGGAACCAGGCGGCCCGCCGGGGGACCCAAACUCUAGAUUUAUAUUUUAGCAUGUCUGAGUGGAAUCAUUACAAAAUGAAUCAAAACUUUCAACAAUGGAUCUCUAGAUCGGAAG
rnacentral:misc_RNA from 1 species